rnacentral:snoRNA from 1 species
ACAUCAUGCCCUGUCUGGCGCCCUGCCUGUGCAAACUGUUGGUGGCGGGCCCGCC